UCGGGCUGGCUGCAGCAGGAAGGCACCUGCGGUGGUGGCAGGAGCCGCUGAGGGAGCAACAGUGGCGGCAAUGGGAUCCUGUGCCCUGCAUUUCCAAGGCAGCCAACUGCACCACCCCCAACCUCUCAUGGCAGGGCAGGACCAACUCCCAGGCCUGGAGCCUCCACUGGAGCUUCAACCUCGCUCCCUGUGCAUCCUGGGAGCCCACGAGCACCCAGUGGAAGGUGCAGCCAGGACUGGCCCCAAGAGCAUCAGGUUCAUUUGUGCAAGACCCAUGAAAAGCCCUGGACUCAGCCAGACCAGAAGAGAUGAUGUGAAGACCCGCCUGCAGAGAGGAGCUACCCUCUCUGCUAAGAGCUGGACACUCAUCAGGACACCCUGAUUACAAAGAGGAGCUACCCACUGUGGCUCUCCUCUGAGCUGUUCUAUCCCUCAAUAAAGUUCCUCUUUGUUUUGCUCAUCCUCCA
rnacentral:lncRNA from 10 species